AGUAGUUUAUGUUCUGUGUCUUAUGAUGAGGCUUCAUAGGGCAGAUUCUGAGCUGAGAAAUGAAAUUUCUCACCACUGAUACUUACUGAAUGCCAUCUGAGGACACUGUGUAUUGC
rfam:Colinus virginianus strain Texas jcf7180006227067, whole genome shotgun sequence.